GAUGAACGCUGGCGGCGUGCCUAAUACAUGCAAGUCGAGCGAACAGACGAGGAGCUUGCUCCUCUGACGUUAGCGGCGGACGGGUGAGUAACACGUGGAUAACCUACCUAUAAGACUGGGAUCACUUCGGGAAACCGGAGCUAAUACCGGAUAAUAUAUUGAACCGCAUGGUUCAAUAGUGAAGGACGGUUUUGCUGUCACUUAUAGCUGGAUCCGCGCCGCAUUAGCUAGUUGGUAAGGUAACGGCUUACCAAGGCGACGAUGCGUAGCCGACCUGAGAGGGGGAUCGGCCACACUGGAACUGAGACACGGUCCAGACUCCUAAGGGAGGCAGCAGUAGGGAAUCGUCCGCAAUGGGCGAAAGCCUGACGGAGCAGCGCCGCGUGAGUGAUGAAGGUCUUCGGAUCGUAAAACUCUGUUAUGAGGGAAGAACAAAUGUGUAAGGAACUAUGCACGGCUUGACGGUACCUAAUCAGAAAGCCACGGCUAACUACGUG
rnacentral:rRNA from 1 species